rnacentral:rRNA from 1 species
GACGAACGCUGGCGGCGUGCUUAACACAUGCAAGUCGAACGGCAAGGCCCUGCUUUCGUGGUGUGCUCGAGCGGCGAACGGGUGAGUAACACGUGAGUAACCUGCCCUUGAUUUUGGGAUAACUUCAGGAAACUGGGGCUAAUACCGGAUAGGAGCUCCCCCUCCAUGGUGGGGGUUGGAAAGUUUCGGCGGUUGGGGAUGGACUCGCGGCUUAUCAGCUUGUUGGUGGGGUAGUGGCUUACCAAGGCUUUGACGGGUACCCGGCCUGUGAGGGUGACCGGCCACAUUGGGACUGAGAUACGGCCCAGACUCCUACGGGAGGCAGCAGUGGGGAAUAUUGCACAAUGGGCGGAAGCCUGAUGCAGCAACGCCGCGUGCGGGAUGACGGCCUUCGGGUUGUAAACCGCUUUCGCCUGUGACGAAGCGUGAGUGACGGUAAUGGGUAAAGAAGCACCGGCUAACUACGUG